rnacentral:piRNA from 1 species
UCCAGAAAAGUACAACUGGGGAAGA